rnacentral:siRNA from 1 species
AAUGUGAUAUUUGUUUUAGGAA